GACAAAGCUACGAAGGGCACACGGUGGAUGUCUUGGCGUUGAGAGGCGAUGAAGGACGUGGGAACCUGCGAAAAGCCCAGAGGAGCUGGUAACCGAGCGUCGAUCCUGGGAUGUCCGAAUGGGGAAACCCGGCCCUUCGGGGCCACCGCCCGCUGAAUGCAUAGGCGUGCGGAGCGAACCCGGGGAACUGAAACAUCUCAGUACCCGGAGGAAAGGAAAGCAACAGCGACUCCGUGAGUAGCGGCGAGCGAAAGCGGAUGCGUACGCGGAAGAGCGAACGCGUUGGAAUGCGCGGCCUGAGAAGGUGAAAGCCCUGUACCCGGAAGCGUGCGUAAGCCCUUGAGUAGGUUCGGUGCCGUGGAACCCGGACUGAACACGGGGGGUCCACCCCCCAAGGCUAAGUACUCCUCAACGACCGAUAGUGGAUCAGUAAGGCGACUGAACGAUGACAAGCACCGCGAUGAGCGGGGUGAAAGAGUACCUGAAACCGUGUGCCUACAAGCGGUCGGAGCCUCCCGAAAGGGGGGUGACGGCGUGCUUUUUGCAUAAUGAGCCCGCGAGUUAGUCUGUGCGGCGAGCCUAAGGCCCAUCGGGCCGGAGGCGGAGCGAAAGCGAGUCUGAACAGGGCGUUCAGUCGCACGGGCUAGACGCGAAACCUAGUGAUCUACCCAUGGCCAGGGUGAAGGGCGGGUAAGACCGCCUGGAGGCCCGAACUCGUUGUCGUUGAAAAGACAUGGGAUGAGCUGUGGGGAGGACUUAAAGUGUAAUCAAACUGGGAGAUAGCUCGUUCUCUCCGAAAUAACUUUAGGGUUAGCCUCGGGAGCGCAACCGACGGGGGUAGAGCGACUGGAUGAGCGUUGGGGGCCACAAGCCUACCGCGCUCAACCAAACUCCGAAUACCGUCGGCCAAGACCCGGGAGAUAGACGGCGAGUGACAAUAUCCGUCGUCAAAAGGAGAACAAUCCAGACCGCCGGCUAAGGCCCCGAAUCUCCGCUGAGUUCGUAAGGAAGUCAGAUUGCCGUGACAGCCAGGAUGUUGGCUUAGAAGCAGCCACCAUUUCAAGAGUGCGUAAUAGCUCACUGGCCGAGGAGUCUGGCGCCGAAAAUGAUCGGGAAUAAGCGGGGAGCCGAAGCCGCGGACGCGCAAGCGUGGUAGGAGAGCGUUCCUCUCGGCGGUGAAGCGGUCCGGGAACGGUCCGUGGAGCGUGAGGAAGUGCAUAUGCGGGCUUGAGUAACGAUAAAGCGGGUGAGAAUCCCGCUCGCCGUAAGCCCAAGGGUUCCUGGGGAAGGUACAUCCGCCCAGGGUGAGGCGGGACCUAAGGCGAGGCCGAAAGGCGUAGUCGAUGGACAGCCGGUGAAUAUUCCGGCCCCCUCGCGGAGAUCGAAGCGCGGUGCAGAUUCCUCAGCUCGGGUGGGCGACCAGUUGUGCCCAGGCCCUUGUGGCCGUUCCCGGGGGCGGGAACUAGGCAAAUUAACCCCGUACGUUCGCAAGAAGGGGGCCCUUCGGGGCGCAGAGAAAAGGCUCUGGGAACUGUUUAUCAAAAACACAGCUCUGUGCCAACUCGCAAGAGGAUGUAUACAGAGUGACGCUUGCCCGGUACCGGAAUGUCACGGGAGCGGGUCAGCUUCGGCGAAGCUCGCGACUUAAGCACCGGUAAACGGCGGCCGUAACUAUGACGGUCCUAAGGUAGCGAAGUUCCUUGUCGGGUAAGUUCCGACGCGCAUGAAUAGCGUAAUCACUGGAGCACUGUCUCCACGACCGACUCGGUGAAAUAGUAGUGGCGGUGAAGAUGCCGCCUACCCGCAGCAAGACGGAAAGACCCCGUGGACCUUUACUGCAGGCUCGCAUUGGUCACGAGCAUGUUCUGCGUAGGAUAGGUGGGAGGCUUCGAAGCCCGGGUUUCGGCCCGGGUGGAGCCAACGGUGAAAUACCACCCUGAAUACGUUUGUGGCCUAACCCCGAAUCCCGUGAAUCCGGGCGGGGGACCGUGCGUGUCGGGCAGUUUGACUGGGGCGGUCUCCUCCAAAAAGGUAACGGAGGAGCGCAAAGGUCGGCUCAGCGCGGAUGGAAACCGCGUUUCAGAGUGCAAGAGCACAAGCCGGCUCUACUGCGAGGCCGACGGGCCGAGCAGUCACGAAAGUGGGCUCUAGUGAUCCUGCGAUCCCGUGUGGAAGGGUCGUAGCUCAUCGGAUAAAAGGUACCCCGGGGAUAACAGGCUGAUCGCACCCGAGCGUCCAUAGCGGCGGUGCGGUUUGGCACCUCGAUGUCGGCUCAUCGCAUCCUGGGGCUGAAGGUGGUCCCAAGGGUUCGGCUGUUCGCCGAUUAAAGCGGUACGCGAGCUGGGUUCAGACCGGCGUGAGCCAGGUCGGUCCCUAUCUGCUGUGGGCGUUCCAGGCUUGAGAGGAGUCAACCCUAGUACGAGAGGACUGGGUUGGACCGACCCCUGGUGAUCCUGUUGCGGCGCUCGCCGCACCGCAGGGUAGCUACGUCGGGCAGGGAUAACCGCUGAAAGCAUCUAAGCGGGAAGCCCCCCUCGAGAUGAGGCCUGGUGGUCGAAAGACGGAAGACCCCUCGGAGACCACGAGGUUGAUAGGCCGCGCGUGCACGGGCUGAAAGGCCCUCAGCGGAGCGGUACUAACGGUCGAAGGCUUUGUCGCACC
rnacentral:rRNA from 1 species